rnacentral:rRNA from 1 species
AUUGAACGCUGGCGGCAGGCUUAACACAUGCAAGUCGAGCGGAGAUGAAGUGCUUGCACCUUAUCUUAGCGGCGGACGGGUGAGUAAUGCUUAGGAAUCUGCCUAUUAGUGGGGGACAACAUUCCGAACGGGAUGCUAAUACCGCAUACGUCCUACGGGAGAAAGCAGGGGAUCUUCGGACCUUGCGCGCAUAGAUGCGCCUAAGUCGGAUUAGCUAGUUGGUGGGGUAAAGGCCUACCAAGGCGACGAUCUGUAGCGGGUCUGAGAGGAUGAUCCGCCACACUGGGACUGAGACACGGCCCAGACUCCUACGGGAGGCAGCAGUGGGGAAUAUUGGACAAUGGGGGGAACCCUGAUCCAGCCAUGCCGCGUGUGUGAAGAAGGCCUUAUGGUUGUAAAGCACUUUAAGCGAGGAGGAGGCUACUGAGACUAAUACUCUUGGAUAGUGGACGUUACUCGCAGAAUAAGCACCGGCUAACUCUGUGCCAGCCGCCGCCGUAAAAC